rnacentral:rRNA from 1 species
GCCCUUCCUUGGCGUCUGGCUUAACGCGUGCAAGUCGAGCGGUGUGUCCCUUCGUUUUUGCGCUGCUCGAGUAGCGGACGUGUAAUUAUCACGUGGGUAACCGUCCCGUGUCUUUUGUAUAACUUCAGGAAACUGUGGCGUAUCCCGGAUAGGAGCUCCUGCUGCAUGGUGGGGGUGGGUAAGUUUCGGCGGUUGCGGAUAGACUCGCGCCUUAUCAGCUUGGUGGUGGGGUAGUGGCUUACCAAGGCUGUGAGGGGUAGCUGGCCUGAGAGGGUGGCGGGCCACAGUGGGACGGAGAUGCGGCCCAGCCCCCUACGGGAGGCAGCAGUGGGGAACAUUGCCCAAUGCGCGGAACCCUGAUGCAGCAACGCCGCGUGCGGGAUCACGGCCUUCGGGUUGCACCCCGCCUUCGCAUGGGACGAAGCGCGACUGAGGGUACUGGGUACCGAAGCACCGGCUAACUACGUG